rnacentral:rRNA from 1 species
UGCCCCGAAGACCGGGACAAGCCGGGGAAACCUGGUCUAAUACCGGAUGCCCUCACCGGAUCGCAUGAUCCGGCGAGGAAAUGGAUUCCGCUUCGGGAUGGGCUCGCGGUCUAUCAGCUUGUUGGUGGGGUAACGGCCUACCAAGGCGACGACGGAUAGCUGGUCUGAGAGGACGAUCAGCCACACUGGGACUGAGACACGGCCCAGACUCCUACGGGAGGCAGCAGUUAGGAAUCUUGCGCAAUGGGGGAAACCCUGACGCAGCGACGCCGCGUGCGGGAUGAAGGCCCUCGGGUUGUAAACCGCUUUCAGCAGGGACGAAAUUGACGGUACCUGCAGAAGAAGGCCCGGCCAACUACGUGCCAGCAGCCGCGGUAAUACGUAGGGGCCUAGCGUUGUCCGGAAUUAUUGGGCGUAAAGAGCUCGUAGGCGGUUCGGCAAGUCGGAUGUGAAAUCUCCACGCUCAACGUGGAGGGGCCAUUCGAAACUGCCGUGACUCGAGUCCGGUAGGGGAGUGUGGAAUUCCCGGUGUAGCGGUGAAAUGCGCAGAUAUCGGGAGGAACACCAGUAGCGAAGGCGGCACUCUGGGCCGGUACUGACGCUGAGGAGCGAAAGCGUGGGGAGCGAACAGGAUUAGAUACCCUGGUAGUCCACGCCGUAAACGUUGGGCACUAGGUGUGGGACCCUAUCGACGGGUUCCGUGCCGUAGCUAACGCAUUAAGUGCCCCGCCUGGGGAGUACGGCCGCAAGGCUAAA